rnacentral:sRNA from 1 species
AUUCCUGGCACUCAUGUAAGGCAGCUCACAAUUGCCUGUAACUCCAGCUCCAGAAACCCAGCAGGCGCCCUCUCCUGACUUAUAUGACUUUUAUCGUCAGUACAUGUCACAAGAAAACAUUUAAAACGACACCAAAACAAUCUCUGAAAUCAUGGUGCAUGGAGGAAAAAGGUGAAGAAAACAACUGUUGGCUUCUUUUGGCAUGAGACCUUGAUACAAUUUGGGUUCCCCAAAACCACGUGAAGGGUGAUAAAAUAGAAAUGCUCAAAACUGACUUAAAAAAAUAAACAGGCUUUACAAAACCCUCUUUUUUUUCUGAACCCAGCCACUUCUCUACAUGGUCUGCACUUACAGUAGAUACAUUCAUUAUUGUCCAAGGGAAGACAGCCACUGCCUUUCACUUAAAGAGCUUGGUGGAGAGGCUGAAGGGAUACGCUGCAGCCGAAGGUGAGUAGAAUGUUCCACAGAACAGAAAACUACAUGGUAACAGCACUGAGCAUGAUGGGGCAAAGGGUCUCUGGGCAGGAGGUGGAGGAUAGGGAGGAGUCCAGAUCUGAAGCAGUGGGGACCAAAGGAUGGAGUAGGGUCAGCGGUGGCCGCCAUGGGCACUGGGCAUCUCCCAGCCUGAGCAGUCCUGGGUUCCUCCUUAGCCUAGCAACACUGCUCUGUCAGUGAGAGGUGGGCCCUGGAGUUUGGAGAGGGAGUGUGGUCUCCUUUCAGGCACAGCAGCAUGGAGGGGGUAGGCAGGCUUCCAACAUAUGCCACGGGAGGGACUUCUCGCCUGGUUCUGACUGUUUGGUAGAUGGUCAUUAAGGCAAUAAGGACUUUAGCAAACUAGAAGUUAAGGGCAGCUAAAUUCAGCCAGGUCAAAGGUGAACAAAAGGUGAGAAGGGGGCCCUUUCUCAGCUACUUUCCCCAAGCUCAGCAAACCUCAGCUCCUGGAGCACAGGUUUACAGUACACAAUAACAGAGGGCUUGCCCUUUGGGAGGCUCCAUGGAAAGAAGGCUCAUCCAAGACUUGGGGCAACCUAACCAGUUUCUGUUCUCCAGACUGUUUCCUGUGGUCACUUUCUGGUGAGUGGCAGGUGGAAGCACCAAGGUUCAUGCAGAAGUUAGGUCAAGACCCCAGCUAUCAUCCUGCUGGUCUAUCUCAGUGGCCUUGAACACCAUAGAUCCUGGAAAACCAGGCCAGAUGCUUGCAUGCACCAUAAGACCUACACUCAGCUGGAGAGUGGGCUCCCUCCCCUGAGCAGGUGGAAGGAUAGUUAUGAAGGCCAUGGAACUAUGAGGUCCCACAUGGCCUCUGGGGAGUGGAGAAACAGCUCUUGUGGUUUGAAUCUACUCAGAGGGAGGCAUGCAGAAGAUAGAGGAGAGCAGAACUAUUCUCUUUCUCCAUGCUCUGAACAAAGGAGACAAAGCCUAUAAUGCUAUGGGAAAGGUGACCUCAACCAGCUACCUGUUUUUCUGGGCUAACUUCUGGCAAGAGACUGGGUGGUCUGACUGCUAAGGCUCUGGAGUAGAAGAAGGGGAAGUGGGACAGUUUCUGCCAAAGGGCACGGCUACCUCCCUGCAUACGAACCAAGUAUAACCUGGGUAAAUCAGGCCACCCCCCUUCCUUCAGCAUGCGAUAGCAAGCCAUAAAAGGCUCUUUAUGAGAUACCUUGGGCCUGCAGGUAUAGCAGCUUGGAGAUGCUAGAAGUAAAUUAUUUAGGAACUCCCUAAGGGACCUUGGUGGGGAUGAGACAUUUAUACGAGAAAACACCAUAAUGGCCAGCUGUCUGGGCCAGAUCCAGGCCUGGCCCCUCUGUGGUAGAAGUUGUCUUAGUCAGACCCUAAGAAAAGUGGGUAACAGGACUGUAAGGAUUACGGCAAUAAACCAUCGACAAAAACGUGACAAGCAUGCUGUAGGAAUAUGGACAAAACAAGAUGGGCAGCAAAUUAUCUGGUCAUUGCUAAGGAGGACUGGUAGAUGACUUCCUUGUCUAAACCUACUUUAGUGCACAAUUAAACCUAUCUUCUAAGUAGUGCACAGUACAAGCCAAAUCCUCUAAGAAGCAAUCUAGCUUAUCUCUUCCUUUCCCUGACAGAAUAUUCAAAGCCACUUGGGAAGGGGCUACAGAGCCAUUUUUCUACAGCCACUGGGACAUUGCAGUCACCUUUAUAGUUUCUCUGGCUCUGGUCAUACCAUGCCGAGAAGCAGGCAACACUCUUUAGAACUCCUGCCUACAAGCUUGGGAACAUAAAAUUCAUGGCAGGCACCUUGUUGCCUUGCUAGCCCUGCAGGUAUCCUUCUGAGGAACCUGCUGAGCUCAGUGGAGUAGCAUCCGAGGGCUGGAGGAUUACUGUGAACAGCGGCUGGGGUGUGGCAUCAGCUGUGGCUGGGUAGUGUGCUUGCUCACCGGCCCUGUCUCUUGGAAGAGUUUAAGAAUAUGGGAACAGAGAAAGCAAAGUGUAACAGAAAAAAAUGGAAGGUUUUCUAGGAAUGAGACUGCCCAUACAUAAGGAUGAUAUCUGAAGGUACACAGGGAAGCCAUUUUAAGAUAGUGAGAUUAUGAAAGAAUGUUUGCAAAUUUGGUUGUUUCCUAGCUUUUUUUUUGUUUCCUAGCUUUUUAAACAGAGAAAAUAAUGAUAAUUAUCGCCAAUAUCAAGCAUAUCAAUUUUAGGGCUUAUGCUCCUAAUUUGGAGAAGUGGCAGCUUCUUUUCUUGAUGGAACAAGUUGGCUGUGUCACUUACUGGCCAUAUAAAAUCACCUUUUCCCCACAGAGCCACAAGAGGACCUCCUGUGGCCAUAGAAUUCAAGAAAGAACCUUGAACCUUAACAUUUGACCCAUACCUUGCAGGGGGUUGUGACAAAUCUCAGAGGACACUACAAGGAUGCCCAGGGUCCUUUCCUUCAGCUGCCUGGAGGGACUUGGGGGACUUGGUUGGGGACAGGAAGCUGCCCCUUGGGAAUAGGCUGUAAAGGGCUGGAACAGCAUUCUUUGAAGGUAUAAAGCCCUUUAAAAAUCUCCAACUCAGGAAUUUGAUCUCUUUCAAGAAACAUCCUCCAGUCUAACUGGAAUAAAAAACAUUUUUCAACGUCAUAUGACAAAGGAAAACAAAGACUUUUAAGGCCUGGAGGCUGUGGCCAGUGAGCCGAGCCUCAUGGUCUUCUCCAUGGUAAUGCAGUAAAAAUCAAGGGGCUUCAGCAGCAGGCUGUGGACUGUUCCAAAAAUGGGUACAAAAGCACACUCUAGGUUAGAGCUUUAUAAGCUGUAGGGACAAAUCUCAAGGGUCCUCCAGAGAAAAAAAUGGCCACAUAAUGGGGCUGCUAAGCUCUCUGAAAGAGGUUAGCAAGGGGAGGAGGCUGUGUCACUGUCGAGGAAAUAAUGUUAAUGGAAAUCCUUGAAGCUACCAUUUAGCAUGAGGAAAAUACUUGAUAGCUUCUGGUGACUCUAUGGAGAUAAAGUUGACGGAGAGGUGCAAUGAAGAAACAGGGAACACUUAAACGUGAAGACUUUGUGGAUCAAAAGUUGUGGCUUUCUGAGAAAGGCUAUUUAAAAAAAAAAAGGCUGUAGAAUGUUCUUCCUGGGAUGAAUGGAGACAACCUUGAAGGAAGCCAUCAAGGCAAGGGAUGGGGAGAUAUAUGGAUAGUUAGACUACUAUGACCAUUAAGGAAGACCCAAAGCCCAUCCAGCAGGAGAGCUUGAAGGAAGGACAAAGAUGGAGAAUCUGCUGUUAUUCUCAUUACUAUUCAGUGCCUCUCAAAAGCACAGAUAAAGAGGAUACCAGUUCAUUCCUUGUCCUACUAGCCUUCCUCUCUUGGCUCAUGCAGGCUGGCAAGUGGAAUGUGACCCGUGUGUUCCCUUCAGUCAUGAUCAUGGAAGAUACUUAGGAGAGUCAACCAUGGUGGUUGGGGAUAGUCCGCACAGAUUUCAUAAAUUUAAAGGAGCUCUGUGAUCUGGUGGUCCUACAUCAGAGAGAGACAAAACAGCUCCAUCAGUUCUGCCAAGAUCCCUUGCACAUUGUCCUCUCUCUGGGUGUGGCUUGUCUCACCUGUAAAAAGGAAGACCCGAGUCCUCAGGGCUCUCAGGGCAUCUCUGGCAUUCAGGUAUGUUCCAUUUGCUGUCAGCCGGAACAGGCAAGAGUAAGGGCUGAAUUCUAUAGCCUUGCACCCAGAGCGUGAGCUUGCUCCUGGGAAGUAGCAAGACAAUGGAGACCAACAUCAGCACACUGGCUCUGCUCCCCAAAUCUCUGGCCAUAGAGGCCGUGCAGGAGAGAAACAGUGCCGACAUAUUUCUCUGCAGCCAGCCUUGGCUUUGAGGGAAAAGAGGAAAUGUACUCAAUUCAUUCUGGAAGAUGCCCACCAGCAGCUGACAACAAUGGAACAGUCACAGUCAUGAACACUUGAGUGCCCACAAGGAGGAAGAUGCCUGUGAGUGUGUUCUGAGUCCUCAACUCUGAAGAGGGGAAAAACAGAGACCUUCAAGAACUUGUACUGAUUCAGCUGGCCAUUGGACAGAUAGUUUUCUGUAAAACCAGUAAGCCCUAAGUCCUUGGGAACCUAACUAACAUCAGCUUGAGAAGGAGGAAGCACCUGUUUGCAUCUUCCCCAAGACAAGCAAGUGAGAAGUCACAGAUCCUGGAACCAAACAUCACAAAGCUGCAAAUACCAGUGGUAUGGCAUGUUGGAUCCCAGCAAGGGUCAUCUGUCAGAGUCUAGGAUGGGGAAAGAUGGGGUGGCAAACUGCUAGCACACCCAGGGAAUAAACACACCCACAGAUGCAGACUUGACAAAGAAUAUAAGAUUCUAGAGCAAGGACUUAACUCCCUUGACUGGAGAUACUGUCAUAUCCCCUCAGUCUGUUCUGUGAGGGAACCAUCUUGCUGUAGAGAUUUCCUGUGGAAAUCUUGACAUAGAGUAAGUUCUUUAAUACACAUCUUUCCCCUGAGCAUGUCUGGGUUUCUUGAGGAGGAGGGGAGAAGCUGCCAAGUGCUGUCUCCAAACAGCAGUUCAGUCUUACAGGUAGCUCAGGACCCAUUUUUAUAUUAAGUGCACUGAAGACCCAGGAAGGGUAACUGUCUCCCUUUCUGUCACCUCCCUUCUUGAUCUCACAGAUGAAGAAACUGAGGCACAAAAAGGCCAUCAAUUUUUCUUCAGUCUUUCCUGUGGAUCUGGUGCCAUUCCAAGCAAGGAAAACUCUGCAUCUCUUUCUGAAUCCUUGGACGUCUCCCAUUGUGUGCCUAACUCAACAUUUGCCAUCUAUCUACCUUUCUAUCUAUAAUAUAUUAUACGUACUCUUAUGUAUAAAAUAUAAAUAAUUCUUAGACUCCCACUUACCUUCUUGUCCUUUCUUCUCCUUUAUAUAGCUAGGACUGAAAAAAUAAUGUUCCAUGACCAGGGAAAACCACAGUACUGCUCAGAGGGAGAGAUCGAGGGAAGGAGAAAUGCCCGCCCUUGUCUCCAGGGCCUGGUGCUUUAGAGCUGGACUGCUCAGCUGUUCAUUGGAAUGUAAGUCAACAGAAAUCAGCAAUGGACACAGCUGUACCUGAUGAGUCAACUUCCACAACCUGGUUCUAAGGAACAGUAACUACAAUAGAGAUAGAUAGAUAUGCUAUGUUGAACCUUGAGUACCAAACACAAGUUAUAAAUAGAAUUAUGCUAAAGGAAAGCAGACAGACAUCAUUGGGACUAAGUCUGGUUGACAACCAGUCACCGUUACGAUUAAAAAGUAAACUGGCCUGUUCACUGCGCACCUCCACGACACUUCUUAAUGCACUAAGUACAUUUUAACCAUGCAAAAAUACACAACAUCUUAACUAGGUUUUUUUUUUUUUGUAAAAAAAAUCAAACACCAACAUUAUGCAUUUUUGUUAAUUAUAUUGGUUAAAGUAACAGCCAGUGGCUGCCAGAUAUCAGAUACAUCAUAUACAUAUUUUUAUACAGAAUCUGGACAACACAACAUUACACAUCAGAGAGAGAGAGAGAGAGAGAGAGAGAGAGAGAGAGAGAGAGAGAGAGAGAGAAUUUGUUCCUUUGUGGGUUUGUUGCUGUUCAGUAAAAAAAAAAUAAAGUAAAAUGUGAGAGGCAAUGCUAAGAAGGAGAACGCAUCAACAGUUAGGGAUACACGGGGAGAACUGCUAACUGGAAAUACAGGAGGCAAAGAGUUCAUAUUUAGGUCUGUGUCUAGAAUGUUCUUCACUAAGAAACAAAAGAGCACAACAGGUGUAUCGGUUUGGAGAAGCAGAGGGGCGGUAACAUCAUGCUGUCUUUUGCCCAGCACGUUUUCAGCGGGAAGGAAAAAAAGCAUAAUCACAAAUCAACUCCAAAAGCUUAGUGUUUUUAAAAACGUCCUCCCUUGCCCAGGAUGCUGGGUGACGCAGGGGUGGGGGCUGCUCAGUCGAGAGAGUCCCUGGCAAAAGUUGGACCCAAACCGUUGGCCUUGAAUUUGUUGGAGAUGUGAGCUGUUGUGGGAACUCACAGCACAAUGGGAUGCGACGAGGCUUGCUCUUCUAGGAAAGGUCUCCCUGGCACCAGGGCAGGGAUGUCUCCAUGACAAGUGCCGCUAGUCAGGCCCCAAUCCUGCCCCCUUAAACUUUUGGUGUCAACACAAUCUUAAGACUUCAACCUGGAAAGAAAACAAGGCCUUGAACACAAGCUAUGGAAGCUCUGCUGUGGUUAUGAUUAGAUACAAAAAUGUGAAAAUCCAGAUGUAAUCAAAAAUACAAAAUCAGUUUCAAUUAGGAUUCGCUUUUGUUGUUUUUGUUUAAAUACCAUUACAGUGCAAGGGUUUUCAAAUUACAGUAAAAGUUAUGUGUCUGCUUACAGUAACUAGAAUAAGUAGCUGAUUUUGUUCUAGAAUCAGAGGUCCCUGAUAAGUGAGAAUGCACCAAUCGAAAUCAACUCAGAAAAACAGAUGGCGGUCUUAACAGAGACAGGGUGCUUAGCGGGUCGUGCCUCCCAACGCUAGGAAGGAGAGAGGGUGGUGGUUUGCACAAUUCGCCAGCACACGGUGUCUACUCCUUCAAAACUGGUAACAAUUUCAACGAGAAAAUAACUAGAAAAUUGGAGUUGAAGAAUGGAGGAUCCCAAGGGAGUCCCGCAUCACUGAGCUUUCCCUAUUCAUUGUACUUAGAAAACAAUGCCUGAGCCUCCUGGCCACAAUGCAUUGUGCUUCAGUCACUCUUCCAGGCUGUUGGGAGAGAGGGUGGCGCCACCUACUGCUCAGAAAGAAAGCAACAGAAGCAAGCAGAGAGGGUGAGGAGGGUAGACCCACCUCCAUUUGGUAAAUGGACGGCCGUUGCCAAGGAGACAGUGCCUCUCACAGUCUCAUGUACUGGAAGGAAGGGGAAAAACAAAUCAAAACAACAACAACAACAACAAAAACAUCAAGAAUCUAGGACAUCUAAGAAUGGGUGACCCACUUCCUGAGCCUCACCUAGGGGCAAUAGGCUGGAAAAGAGUAAGCUGGCUAAAAGGACUGACCAGGUCCACGUCUGGGAUAUGAGAAGAACAAGGGAGCCCGUGGAAGACGUGCCUCUUGAGACCUGCAGCAUCAGGAAUAUGGGGUGUUUUAGGAGGUCCGUGAGGUACUGGAGAGGCACUUGGUCACCCUUUCUUUGACUAAGGUUAGGGGUGGGGGCAAACAUUUGGUACUGGACACAGACAACAGCAGACCAGAAGCUGAGAGAAGCCACAAACCCUGCCUGUUGGUCUUUGGCCUUCCUCAUGAAGCUCUCUGGAGUCCAAGUCCAAGAAAGCCACACUCUGCCCUAAGUGAUGGUGAACCUGGGGCCGAUUUCAAAAGAGGCCGUUUUGGCACAAGAGUUGCUUUGGGAGCACCAUUAGCUAGAAGUGUGUAGGAUGUGGAAAGCAGUGUUUCAUCUCUGAGCUGUGGCUGGUAGCAUGAUCCAUUGGCUUUCUCCUAGUGACCUGUGUAAAUGGGUAGAUCAUCUACUCACAGCUCCAGCCUAGUAAGAACCUCUGAGUCCUCUGCGCUAUCAGGAAGUCUCCCUGCUUGACACUGCGUGGGAAGUGGUGGUGUGAGUCCAGGAAGUACUCCGUGGUUGGUUAAAAUCUGGCCAUUAGAGGAAGCAUGGGCUACCUCUAAAAUGAAGUACGUUCCUUGAUUUUGGCAAAAAGGGGCUUCCACUCCUCUCUUUGGCCAGAAGAGACCCUACCUCCACAUCUCUCUGAACAAGUUUCCCCAGAGUUAGUCACCAGGCCACAGCCCACUCUCUUAAAGUAAUCACCUUGGAAAUGCUCUUUGUUCCUGGCCCAGUCUGACCCACAGGAUAGCCCACAGUGUGGUCCUUUGCACAUUGCGCUGGGCACCUCUAAAGUGACCGGCACCUUCAAGACAGCUAAUGUCCAAACAGGCUUUGCUGGGGAUGGAUCUUCCUGUCAAUGGAUGACUUUAAAAACCUGGUCUGCCUUAAUAGCCUCUACAAAUGCUAUAGUCUUCAAAUAAAUCCCCAGAGUUCUGCAUAAAUAGCCAGGCCUCAUCUCUCCAGAUGAUGCAUCAUUUAAAGAUUUGUGAUAACAGAUGUUGUUCAUGUGAGGAAAGGGACAGCAUGAAAUUAGGGGACGGGAUGACAGAAAAAGCAAACUAAAAGCUAAAAGUCCUUGUCCAGGACACAUCUGCAUGAGUCACUCUUGGUACUUGGUGCCAUUAUGGAGCUGCCCCUGGCUGAAAGACUUCACCAACUGAUGCUGUUGGCACUGGCAUGGUGGCAAGGUGGCUUCUGCAUUCCUAACGCUUGGCGUGGUUUGCAUAUCACCAAACUGACACUGGAGUCUAGGGUGGUUUCUUGCUUCAUUGUAGUCGUGUGCCUCAGGCAGGCCAGCUUCUCUGACCUCCAGCCUCCUCCGGUUGGGUGUGAAACCACUUAAUUCAUAGUGAUCAGAGGCAAAGCACACAGCACUCAUUCAGGAAAUGCCGUGGGAAGCCUCUUUGUUUCUCUUAAACACAGGUCACCUUUCCAUUCUGUGGAGCAUUAUGACUUUCCCUAUCCAGAGCACAGGAUUAGGGACACACUCAUCUGCUGUAGAUGUCUUCUAAAGGACAAUAGCAUGGGUGGGGUUCUUUUGUGCUUGGCAUUAUUUGAUUCAGUGGUUAAUUUUUGAACAUCUAAGAUGUCUGGCUGCCAGCUUAGCACCUUGUCUGAGGACAGUCAGAUCUUCUCCUUUCACACUUUGAAUGUUUGUUUUGAGACAGGUUCUUUCUAUGUGGACCACCAUUAUCUCCUUGGAUUUUUAGACUUAUAAACAUUAGGGUGAGUUAGGAAAGGGGGAACUGAACUGUUCCUUUGUUAGAUGAGUGGGUGUGCUGACAACAGAAUUCCAGGCUAGCAAAGAACAUUAAAGAGUAUUGUCUGUAUUUUCCAAGGAGGAAACUGCAUUAGGGCUAGGGUAUUAGGCUGACAUUGCAUCCAGUAUGCCACCCUCCUACUUGGAUUGUGGUGAAACUAGAUUCUCCUUGAUAGGAGCUGUGCUUAGGAUGUCCCAACAUAGCUUCCUCAAUCCCAGAUUUCUCUUUAUAGAACUUUAUUCUCAAUCCCCUUGGAAAAAAACCACUGGCUACAUGCCCGGCCAACUCAUAUGCUCCAGUUUGCCAAGUCAAACUAGGAAAUGGUAACUCUUUCUAGAAGGUUUCAAGAAAGAUCAAUGCCAUGUCUCAUCACUGUUAAGCAGUGAGAACUUUAAAAUAUCGCCAUCAAUGGCCACGAUGGACUAACUGGGAGAUAAAUACACACUGCUCUGGAAAUAGGCAUCUGGUGAGUAAUUAAUAUAACGAAAAUGAUACAUACUGCCUUAGGAACACUGUUGAUAAAGUAUUCCAGCAGAGAUCUCAGAAUCAGCCAUGACAACAGGAUGGAACAGUGGCAAAGAAGGAGUCAGUGACAAUCAGUUUGUGCCCAAAAGGAUGCUGGGGGACUGGCCUAUGGCUUCUGAGCUCACAGGGAGCUUUGAAAGUUGGCCAAGUAAUGCAAGGCUACUUUCUCUAGUCCUCAGAGAAUAUUCUUCUCCCUUAUUCUCAGUAACCAUAACCCUGUCAUAGAAUAUAAAUUCACAUGACCUCUCUAAGUCCCUACAGCUCAGGACAGAAGCCAAUGGUCUGUGGAUGUAAAGACAUGGUGGUCAAGAAUGAUAGCUAACAAGGCAUAGUGACAGUCUCAUUUCUCCUGGACGUGCUGGAAUAGAGGGGCUUAUUCUUCCAGCUUGAGAUCAAUAUUAGCAUAAUUUGGGUGCAAGAAACAUCCUCUGUCUUGGAGAAGCUUGGGGAAAAAGGAACAUGUUAUCACUGUCCACUCUCUUUGUCUUUUUUCCUGGUUGAGACAUUUUUCCGAAGUGAGCAUUGCUUUGGAGGAGGGCUCUUUGGGCCCUUACAAUCCUCUACAAAUGGUCAAGAGAGACAAGCAUUGGCAUUCAGUACUGGAGAAUUUCAAGGAAUGGAGCAGGGAAGAAGAUGAAGUACACUGUGUUUGUUUCCUCAUCAAUGUUCAUAAUUCCUAAAUUCAGGAGGUACUUUAAAACAGGGGGAUGCUCAACAGACAGGGGAGGCACAGAGCUUCUGAAAGUCAUGUCACCACCUCUGUUUUUGAAACUCAGUGGUGUUAGACCAUCUUCUUGUCUUUUGAAUCCCAGAGAGUACCACUCCACUCAACCCCUUUGAAUUGGAUUUUCCCGAACAUGAGUGAGAUCUAAGUGAGGGACACUUUGACCCACACACUCAGCAGAAGACAACCUGUCAUGAUGUCUGAUGUCUGUGAGGGUGAGCAAAGGUCGAGUGCCAUUAGCAGGUGCAGAAUAAGGGGGAUGCUCAACUUUAAUCUCCUGAAGAUCAGGACUUAAAACACUCAGAUGAAGUUGUAGUCCAUCAUUUCUGGAUGGAUGCUAGGCUGAUAGGGCUGAGUUCUGAUCUGCUGAAAAAAACCCUGGAUUGUGGAUUGGUAACAAUUGCUACUAUAGGAAGAUUAAAGAGAUAAUAACAAUAAGAAAUAAGACUAAGGGAAAUGGAGGAAAUUUGAUGGCUGUUGCUCUAGUUCAAGCACUAAACGUGCCAUCCUCUGCAUCUCACAGGCUAUGCUCAGGCCAAGGUCCAUCUUCAAUGCUAGGCUACACUUGGAAUUGGCAAUCCCAGUUCUGGGAAGAAAGCCACACCUUAUGCAUGCUGGAGAUCAGAAUGCAUUCUUAUCAGGAAGAAAACAAUCUUAAGUAGACACAUGAUACCUGACUGAAGUUAUAGCUAACCCUAGUGUUUCAUCUCCAAGCAUCCCUUAAACCCUUCAAAAUCUGAUCUAGAGGCUACCAUUUCCAAAUCUUUGCAUAUACUUCUUCUUGGAAAUACCAUCUUUCGGCAGAUGCCCACUGCACUGUACACUUCUCUUGUGCUGUUUCCUAUGUUGUGAUAGAAUUUGUGUGCAAUUCUUACUCCUUUUAUUAAAUGCCUUGAAAUAUGUUUUAUAUUUUGAUCCCAUAUGGUUCUAGCUCUGUGCUUGGUAUAGAAAAUACUCUUGGUGGUCAAUUGGCUGAAUUUUCAUUGGUAAUAUUGUUUUUGCAGGGAAGUCCUUUGAGGUAUAAUAGAUUCAUUGUCUGACAACCAGCCCUUGCAAAGAAGGUCACAGCAUAGCAGACACAGUGGCCGUGAGUAGCCCAAAGUGUAAAAUUUCUACCGUGGCUGUACAGAACCUUGAAUUUGAGGUAAUGAAAUACUGGUAUCAUUUGUCACUGGCAUUGAAGUAUACUGCUGCUUAUGGUUCAGUGAUCUACAAGUCCCUUAGGCCUAGACGUUAUUCUUAUCCAGAAGUAGGGCACACAGAAACUAGCAAUGGAUGGGGGAGUUGGGAGUGAAUUAUAGAGGGAGCUAUAUCAAGAGAAAAUAACAGCUAGGAUGAAAAGCCUCUUUCUAGAAUGAUUUCUCUUUGGAACAGUGUCUUCUCCCUUCCUAGGGAUCAAUGAGUGUUUAACUUAGAAAUAAUGAGAACACAUCAUCAGAAAUACCCCCCUCACAAAUAAAACUAACAGUGGACAGACAAGAGAAGGACCAGCACAUCCUGCAGAACUGAGCUGUCUAGAAAAAAGAGGCCUUUCAUAGUGAGCUGAAGGUGGCUAUUAUUCCUCACUUCCAAGCUACCCUCACUUGCCUGGAGUCUGUCUGUCUGUCUGUCUGCUCCCCCCUCUAAGAAGCAUGCCCACAAGGAAGCAGAGAGGUCACUUCAUGGGCAAAACUGACCUUUAUGUUCAUAAGUCCCACCCAUGUCUCCUUCUUGGUUGACCAUUAGCAUCACCUACCCAUUGGACCUUCCUUUAAAAAAACAAACAAAAAAAAAACUUUGAAAAAAAUAAACACAUUCUGAACGUUGGUUGUGUUCUUUGCUACUAAGUCAUGUGAUGUCUCUACCAAAUGCAGGAGGGCUUAUAGUGGCCCCCAACUUCCUGCUGUCUGUACCUUUGUACAACGUGUGUAGGCAUCUAGGGAGGACCGCUCCAAUGGUGGGUGUGACCUAGAACCUGCAUGGAAAGAAAAGGGAGACUGGUAUUCAAACUCUGGAAGGUUCUCCUGGAAUGGAAGCUUAAGCAUGGAAAAACUUGGGGAA